rnacentral:rRNA from 1 species
GAUGAACGCUGGCGGCGUGCCUAAUACAUGCAAGUCGAGCGAACGGACGAUAAGCUUGCUUCUCUGAUGGUAGCGGCUGACGGGUGAGUAACACGUGGAUAACCUACCUAUAAUACUUGGAUAACUUCGGGAAACCGGAUCUAAUACCGGAUGAUAUUUUGAACCGCUUGGUGCAAAAGUUAAAGACGGUCUUGCUGUCACAUAUAGAUGGAUCCGCGCUGCAUUAGCUAGUUGGUAAGGUAACGGCUUACCAAGGCAACGAUGCAUAGCCGAUCUGAGAGGGUGAUCAGCCACACUGGAACUGAGACACGGUCCAGACUCCUACGGGAGGCAGCAGUAGGGAAUAUUCCACAAUGGGCGCAAGCCUGAUGGAGCAACGCCGCGUGAGUGAUGAAGGUCUUCGGAUCGUAAAACUCUGUUAUUAGGGAAGAACAUAUGUGUAAGUAACUGUGCACAUCUUGACGGUACCUAAACAGAAAGCAACGGCUAACUACGUG